rnacentral:rRNA from 1 species
UACGGGGGGUGCGAGCGUUGUCCGGAAUCCCUGGGCGUAAAGGGCGCGUAGGUGGCGUGAUCAGGGUGUGGUGAAAGCUCGACGCUCAACGUCGAGUCGGCCAUAGAGACUGGAGGGCUCGAGCACUGUAGGGGCAGAUGGAAUUCCGGGUGUAGCGGUGGAAUGCGUAGAGAUCCGAAAGAACACCGGUGGCGAAGGCGGUCUGCUGGGCAGUUGCUGACACUGAGGCGCGACAGCGUGGGGAGCAAACAGG